ACAAAGGCUCUUUUCAGAGCCAAGACAAAAAAAAUGUACAAGGAUUU
rfam:Oryctolagus cuniculus chromosome 2, whole genome shotgun sequence.